rnacentral:lncRNA from 1 species
UGCAGGGUCACUAUAGCAACAGAGUUCUCUGCUCUCUCUGUUCUCUGCUCUCUGCUCUCUUUCUGCUCUCUCUCUCUGCUUUCUCUCUCUGCUCUGCUGCUCUUUUCUCUGCUCUGCUCUCCCUCUCUGCUCUCCCUCUCUCUGCCCUCAGCCUGCCCUCUCUGCUCUCUCACUCUCUGCUCUCUCUCUUCCUCUCUGCUCUCCGCAGAGAGCAGAGAGAGAGAGAGAAAGCAGAGAGAGCGAGCAGAAAGAGAGCAGAGAGAGCAGAGAGGAAGAGAGAGCGUAGAGAGAGCAGAAAGAGAGCAGAGAACAGAGAGCAGAGAACUCUGUUGCUAUAGUGACCCUGCAUCACAACACUGUUGCUAUAGUGACCCUGCAUCACAACACUCUGUUGCUAUAGUGACCCUGCAUCACAACACUGUUGCUAUAGUUGUAGAGAGAGCAGAGAGCAGCCUGCUCUCUGCUCUCUCUCUCUCUGCACUCUCAGCCAACUCUUUGCCCUCUACUCUCUCUCAGCUCUCUUUCUCUCUUCUCUCUCUGCACUCUCUCUGUUCUCUCUCUCUCCCUCUCUCUCUCUCCUCUCUGCUCUCUCUCUCUCUGUUCUCUCUCUCUCUCUAUCUCUCCCUCUGCUCUAUCUGCUCUCUGCUCUGUGCUCUCUCUUUACUCUGCUCUCUCUCUCUGCCCUCUGCCCUCUCUCUUUGCACUCUCACUCUUUGCUUUCUCAGCCUGCUCUCUCUCUGCUCCCUCUCUCUCUGCUCUCUUCUCUCUAUUCUCUGCUCUGUCACUCCCUCUAUUCUCUGCUCUGUCACUCCCUCUGCUCUCUGCUCUCUCUCUGCUUUCUCUGCUCUCUCUUCUCUCUGUUCUCUCUCUGCUCUCUCUCUCUGCGCUCUUCUCUGUUCUCUACUCUCUCUCUCUGCUCUCUUUCUGCUCUCUCUUUCUGCUCUAGUUAUCUGCUCUUACUCUCUGCUCUCUCUGCAGGUGCGGGUGCAGUUUGGACAAUCACCACUUGAUGGCAGUGUUAAACCAGAAGUGAUGAAAACAACAUCACUGCAGAGAGAGAGAGAGAGUCUAAUAUACUGA